rnacentral:lncRNA from 1 species
AUCUCGUUGUCCCAUAUAGUUAGACGUACCACUUUAGAUCUACAAAAAAUGAUUGUAUUAUAUAUUGCUUGGUGAACAACAAAUUUUAUUUAAUAAAAUUAGGUUGGGCCAGUAGUAUUUUGUUUGGGUCAUGAGUGUUUGGUAAAGCUGGGCUGUGAAGAUUAACUUAAUUAUUGGGCUGAAGCACGUGAUCUGCUGCUCGAUAAGAAAACACAUGAUCUGCUCUUCCCAAGUUAUUUCAUUAUUGGCCAAUCCGUGAUGACAUGUCAAUAUGAUUGGUCAGGAAUAUUUCGUCUAACGUGGCACUCUUUAAACACUCUAAAAAUAGCUCCUUUUAUAUAGUAGUGAUAGUAACAUGAACUUGAAAUCUUC